rnacentral:misc_RNA from 1 species
GCAUCAAUCAUAUUCUCGGGGUGGAAGGCCUUGGUCCCAACAGGGAAGAGAGGCAAUAGCAAAGCAUAAUCAUGCUGAAUUCCUUAGCAGGUCAAUGAAAAUGAGCCCUGGAAGGAAGAUGUGGAGUAGCUUAAAAAGCUCAUCUGCUUGGUCCCACUCUCCUGUAAAAGGUUUAUUACAACCUGUUACUUGUGCUGGGACAAGAGAUCAGCAGGUUUAUUUGUCAACCUUCCACAAGACGCAAAAACGAAAGAGGUUCACAAAAGAAGAGUGGGAGGAUUUUACAAGGGAAUCAACCCAGC